UAAGACCCUGAUUAAAUAUUUAGGAAGAAAUAAGACCCUGAUCAAAGAUUUAGGUAGAAUAAGACCCUGAUCAAAGAUUUAGGUACAAUAAGACCCUGAUUUGAGAAUAAGACCCAGAUGAAAGAUUUAGGUAGAAUAAGACCCUGAUCAAAGAUUUAGGUACAAUAAGACCCUGAUGAAAGAUUUAUGUAGAAUAAGACCCUGAUUUGAGAAUAAGACCCUGAUGAAAGAUUUAGGUACAAUAAGACCCUGAUUUGAGAAUAAGACCCUGAUCAAAUAUUUAGGUAGAAUAAGACCCUGAUCAAAGAUUUAGGUAGAAUAAGACCCUGAUUUGAGAAUAAGACCCUGAUGAAAGAUUUAGGUACAAUAAGACCCUGAUUUGAGAAUAAGACCCUGAUCAAAUAUUUAGGUAGAAUAAGACCCUGAUCAAAGAUUUAGGUAGAAUAAGACCCUGAUCAAAUAUUUAGGUAGAAUAAGACCCUGAUCAAAGAUUUAGGUAGAAUAAGACCCUGAUCAAAGAUUUAGGUAAAAUAAGACCCUGAUCAAAGAUUUAGGUAGAAUAAGACCCUGAUCAAAGAUUUAGGUAGAAUAAGACCCUGAUCAAAUAUUUAGGUAGAAUAAGACCCUGAUCAAAGAUUUAGGUAGAAUAAGACCCUGAUCAAAGAUUUAGGUAGAAUAAGACCCUGAUCAAAGAUUUAUGUAGAAUAAGAAUAAGACCCUGAUCAAAGAUUUAGGUAGAAUAAGACCCUGAUCAAAGAUUUAGGUAGAAUAAGACCCCGAUCAAAGAUUUAGGUAGAAUAAGACCCUGAUCAAAGAUUUAGGUAGAAUAAGACUCUGAUCAAAGAUUUAGGACUGGUCUGAAUACAUGCAUCAGAGGAUAAUGUGAACAAAUAAUUUUUGUGACAAUUUAUUUUCU